AUGUUAUACCUUAGCAUAGGCCUACUAGCUUUUGCAAAACGACUUGUGUUUUAACAUCCAUAUACUUUAAUGUUUUAGACUUUAAACAUUACCCUAGUGUUCCAUCGUACUUUAGCGUGUUUUACCAUCGUACUUUAGCAAACAAACAACCAUCGUACUUUAGCGUGACACACCAUCGUACUUUAGCGUAGACCAUCGCACUUUAGCGUGACCA
rnacentral:lncRNA from 1 species